GAUGAACGCUGGCGGCGUGCCUAAUACAUGCAAGUCGAGCGAACAGACGAGGAGCUUGCUCCUCUGACGUUAGCGGCGGACGGGUGAGUAACACGUGGAUAACCUACCUAUAAGACUGGGAUAACUUCGGGAAACCGGAGCUAAUACCGGAUAAUAUAUUGAACCGCAUGGUUCAAUAGUGAAAGACGGUUUUGCUGUCACUUAUAGAUGGAUCCGCGCCGCAUUAGCUAGUUGGUAAGGUAACGGCUUACCAAGGCAACGAUGCGUAGCCGACCUGAGAGGGUGAUCGGCCACACUGGAACUGAGACACGGUCCAGACUCCUACGAGAGGCAGCAGUAGGGAAUCUUCCGCAAUGGGCGAAAGCCUGACGGAGCAACGCCGCGUGAGUGAUGAAGGUCUUCGGAUCGUAAAACUCUGUUAUUAGGGAAGAACAAAUGUGUAAGUAACUAUGCACGUCUUGACGGUACCUAAUCAGAAAGCCACGGCUAACUACGU
rnacentral:rRNA from 1 species